ACACACUGCACUUGAGGUCAUGGCAGGACAGCAGACAGCUUGCAAUCCUGACAUACAGUUGGGAAUCUAGUGCUCAGAGUUGGUAAUUUUGAUUUUGGAUUUACGUAGGACCCACUCCAAAUGUCAAGAGCAGGGGCGCCUGGGUGGCUCAGUGGGUUAAAGCCUCUGCCUUC